rnacentral:rRNA from 1 species
UACGUAGGGUGCAAGCGUUAAUCGGAAUUACUGGGCGUAAAGCGUGCGCAGGCGGUUUUGUAAGUCUGACGUGAAAUCCCCGGGCUCAACCUGGGAAUUGCGUUGGAGACUGCAAGGCUAGAAUCUGGCAGAGGGGGGUAGAAUUCCACGUGUAACAGUGAAAUGCGUAGAGAUGUGGAGGAACACCGAUGGCGAAGGCAGCCCCCUGGGUCAAGAUUGACGCUCAUGCACGAAAGCGUGGGGAGCAAACAGG